rnacentral:rRNA from 1 species
CGUUUAGGGGUAAACCUGAGAAACCCGAAAGGUCGAAGGGAGAAAUUCAUCGCGUUUCGACGUUGGCGAUAAGCGAAUGGAGUGACGGGAGACGUACGCGUUUCCUUGCGCCCUUCGUUUGUUGAACUAAUGACGAACGUGUGCACUUUUUUCCUGGUAGGACGUCGCGAUCCGUUGAGUGUCGGUCUACAGUUUACGGUAGAGUUCACAAGUCAUUAUGCAUUUGUGAAUCCGUAUUUCUUGGCCGACUUGCUCGACGGUAUAAUCUAUGGUUCGGGGCCGCUUUUCGAAGCGUCUGACUCGUUGCAAGCGCGCCUUGAUGUAUUGAAGACCGGACUUUGUGCCGAUCCCGAUCUCAGGUGACUGUUGGCUUCGAUGUUCUUGGACAGUGCCUUCUGCGACCGAUCUGCGACGCUAUAGCUUUGGGUACUUUCAGGACCCGUCUUGAAACACGGACCAAGGAGUCUAGCAUGUACGCAAGUCAUUGGGAAUUACUAAACCUAAAGGCGUAAUGAAAGUAAAGAUUUACCUUGCGUAGAUCAAGGGAAGAUGGGCGGUUUACCCUUAAAAGUAGCCGUUCAGCAUUCCCGGGGCGUCUCAUUCUCAUUGCGAGAGGAGGCGCACCAAGAGCGUACACGCUGGGACCCGAAAGAUGGUGAACUAUGCCUGGUCAGGACGAAGUCAGGGGAAACCCUGAUGGAGGUCCGUAGCGAUUCUGACGUGCAAAUCGAUCGUCGGAACUGGGUAUAGGGGCGAAAGACUAAUCGAACCAUC